GACGAACGCUGGCGGCGUGCUUAACACAUGCAAGUCGAACGAAGUGGCGAACGGGUGAGUAAUACGUGGGUAACCUGCCCUCCUUUUUGGGAUAAGCCUUGGAAACGGGGUCUAAUACCGAAUAAAGGGGGAUGGGCUCGCGGCCUAUCAGUUUGUUGGUGGGGUUAGGGCCUACCAAGGCGGUGACGGGUAGCCGGCCUGAGGGGGUGAACUGCAAGAUUGGGACGGGGCAACGGCCGAGACUACUACGGGGGACAGCAGCGGGCGAUAUUGCACAAUGGGCGAAGGCCUGAUGCGGCGACACCGCGGGGGGGAUGAAGGCUUGCGGGGUGUAAACCUCUUUCGGAAUCGAAGGGGUAGGUGGAGAAGAAGCGACGGCUAACUACGUGCCAGCCGCCGCGGUAAUAC
rnacentral:rRNA from 1 species